UACGUAGGGGGCAAGCGUUGUCCGGAAUCAUUGGGCGUAAAGAGCGUGUAGGCGGCUCGGUAAGUCCGCUGUGAAAGUCCAGGGCUCAACCCUGGAAAGCCAGUGGAAACUGUCAAGCUAGAGUCCGGAAGAGGCGAGUGGAACUCCUGGUGUAGCGGUGAAAUGCGCAGAUAUCAGGAAGAACACCAAUGGCGAAGGCAGCUCGCUGGGACGGUACUGACGCUGAGACGCGAAAGCGUGGGGAGCAAACAGG
rnacentral:rRNA from 1 species